ACAAAAUAUGGCACGAAUCCUUAUCAUCAAUUGCGUCGUUUUACUCCUCCACAGCUAUUUGAUCAUUUAGCAGUGCCUAGAGAAAGAUAUUCCGUCAUUGCGGUCAAUUUUCGCUAGCGGUACCUUCGUCUUCUAAGGUGUACGGUUAGAUAGCUACUGCAUACAAAAAUAUGCCCUCCAGAACCAAUGUAUUCGGGAUACAUCGGUUCUUCUAUUCACUUCCCCGAUAAUAAUUUAAAUGUUGCAUUCAAACAUUUGUGUCAUGCUUUAAAAUGAUCUAAACUCCUUGUGCAAAUCGUUUUGAGUCGUGUCUCGCGAAUUGGGCUCCCUUCUCUUAAAAAGAUUAAUUCAAGUCACAUAUUUCUUCCAGUGUCCCAAAAACUCGAAGUUUGUUUCCGUAAGAAUCCCAAAAAUCAUCGGAAAAUGGAGGAAUUAGUCUUGAAUUUUGUCUCUUCCGUUGACUCACGGCCUUCUCUCGAAGUUUUCGGAAAGGUGAAUUGGAAUCCAGAGAUAGCAGCUGGCUUUUGAGAGUACCGUUUUCGCCAUCAGCAGGUUGUUCGGAAAAGAGGGAGCGAAUACGACAGACUUCGCUCUCUGUCCUCCAAUCCACUGGUGCUUGUUUUGGCGUUGAUUUAUCCUUCCUAAUCGGCGGUCUAUUAAAAAUUGACAUCACCGACGUCGAUGAGGAGAAGCUCUUGGAAUCACUGCAAUCUGGCUCAUCUACGUCUAUGAGUUUUUCACCUUUAUUUUCAAUGCGUUUUCUUAUGCUUGAAGUUGUCUUCAGAGGCGUCCUUGGCCAACUAUCAAGAACAAUGGACUCAGUAAUCGGAGGCGAGGAAGGGCUGGAAAUAGUUCCUUCUCCCAACAACUCCGCAGCCAGCCUGAUCAGAACCUUUGCUGUGAGCAAGCUAUCGUAACCUGCUUCGUGGAGUGGCUUUUCGUCAACAUAUUUAUCAUGUUCUGGAUCGAGAACUAAAUUGCACGCGGUUAGAAGAUGCAAUUCUCCAUAUGGGCUGUGUUAACUUACGUAUUCUUGGAGUCCUCCUCUGCUCCAGUUUGUCGUUAAUUUCUGUCAGGGACGACGAGGGUGUCAUUGAUGAACAAUUGUGCGUUGCCAUAUAUUUCGUGUCAAUAACGAGGGGAAAUAAAGCAUGGAUAGCGUUCUUGAAAUCUUCGAUGCGAUCCGGAAGGUCCCCAAUGAAGCAUUUGUAAAAGUUAAUGAGGUCAGUGAACAAGUUAUGCCCAACCAACACAGGCUGCCUUGAUUUUAAUUUCAACUAGAUACAGCUAAGAAAGACCCUUGGGUCCAUUGCAGAGAGGCCACCUCCAACCAUGCCCUCAACAACCCAACGAAACCCCGUUUUUUGGAUAACCCGCUCUCGAAGAGCUCGUGAUUUAUCAACACGUAUGCUCUCCUCACGCUGUUUGUCGUAUGGAAUGAUUUGUACGAAUGUUUGUCGACCGAUUGAGACGAGCGAAGGAUACUCUACCCGAACCAGCUGAUGUACCAAGCGUUUUUGGUAACUGUUUAGACUGAACCUCCAGCUUCCUAAUGGGCUUUCUGUGUUUCCAUUUUCUAGGGGACAAGGUUCCGGGAUGUUGAGGUAGUCUUCCUUAUCCUUUCAGCCGUUAGCGAUGACUUUCGAAUGAAUAGAACGAUCAUCUCCUUACUCCUGUCUCGUUAAUCCAAGCGUCAAUAAGACGGCGAACCUGGGUUAAAAAGGCUUGGGAUUCUGGGUCCAUGUCUUUGGGGUUGACAUCCAUAAGUUUUGCGAUACUAUGCUCACUCUCUGCUAAUUUCGCCAUUGCUUGUUUUUCCUCGAGGCGCGACAGAUAUGGCAGCCCCUCUACAAACGGUGCUUCCAUUCGGAAUCCGUUUUUCAUCAAAAACUGGACAGCUUUGUUUAUUCAGUAAAACCUCAUUGGUGGUGGAACAGUAAAAUUUGCCAGUUGAUAUGGGGAUACAAACCACGGCUUUGAUACGACCAUCGUCUUUCAACCCCUAAUUUUUCGUCAAGCACGGGAUUCAAGUGGAGGUUAUAAGGCCGUAACACAUAGGUUCCUAUUAUUCCUGUUUAGCAUCAAACCCAAAGUUUUGUCAACCGCGCACGAUCACUCUGACCAGUCUCCGUGUCCUCCCUUGCAAAGGUCAAGCCAAUUUGCAACACCUGAUAGGUCUCAGCUGCAUAUUUAACUUCCUCGUAUCUUGCCUGAAGAGUUUGUUUCUCUCCCCACAGAUCGCUUCCGGGAUUAGGGCCAGACUGUCUUGCGACGAUUCCGGAAAACUCUAGGUCUAGGGCAACGAAAGUGGACUCGGCCAGGUCAUUUAGUAGUCUAGGUAGAUGCUGGCUAAACGAUUGCUUUGUCACAUCCAUAUUUGAUAAACACGCAGGUUCAGAUAUGGAAAAUUGAGCAAAUGGGACACAGAAAGUCAGGGAGAGUUGAGUUCCUUAGGGCUCACUCAUGGACUAAAAGGAAUGAGAAACCCAGGGAAAUGAAAGAGAUUGAAUGAAGAAAUGGAUGGAAAUGGAAGCCAGUUUAGAACAUGUCAGUCUGUGUGCAGCACCCAGGAGAUAAGCAACACAAACAAGAGAUGAGGGUUUUCCUCUUCCUAUGUAAGAGGGGUUGUGAUGAUUUGGUAUUGUCGCUGGUUAAGAAGUCGCCCAGCAGUGUGACCUCAGUUUCCCAUCAGAUCUAGCAGGAAGUGAUAAAAAUCCUUUUGUCUGCACCACAAUUGCAGGCGAUCUUGGGCAGGAGACAAUGGAUUUGAAUUCUCUUGUUGUAGUAACUUAAAGACUAAAGAUGCAGGCGCCAGGCGUGGAUAAGUUACAGGGACAAUUGUCCCAAAUGUGUGUAGCUUCAGUCAAGCCGCCCUUUCCAGAGAGCUCCCUACCAUUGGGCUUCUCUGCUCUCUUCAAAGUUCAAACCACACGGUCUCUUGGUGAUCGACUAGGUCAGUCGUACAGACGGUGAGCGAGAGCGAAUGGGAAAAUCUAGUCUCGCAGUGUUUGCUCACACCUCUCCCAAGCAAGCUCCUCCUGCGCAGACCAGAUACCCAUCCAGAUCAGAGGAAGUUGUGAUAUUGAAGUGCUUUACCGCUAGGCUAAACGGUGAAUUCUCUAUUUAGCACAGCUUUUAAGUUCAAUUCUCUUUCACGCCUUGAAGUCUUAACAGAAACAGAACUUGACAACUGGUGACUGAGAACUCUGAGUUCAAUCUGAGUUUCAUCAAGACAAAUGCAUGAACAACUCAACAAAUAUUAGAGUUGGGAAAUUUCCGAAAUAGAAUAAAUUAGAUAGAUCUCUUUCACAUAUAAAUUUGGCAA
rnacentral:sRNA from 2 species